ACCUGUCCAUGCUCUGAAGAAUUUAGGAAUGAGUGACCCAAUGGAGGGAUAGGCCCAGCGAGUCUAAGCUGCUAUUGCAGCUGGUACCAGGUCCACGUGAGAGGGCAUCUUAGAUCACCCCGGCUCAGCUGUGUGUAUUUGCAUGAGUGACCUCAGUUUGUGGUUUGUCAAGAAAUCACUUGAUAUAUGCUGGGCCUGGCUGAGGUGAAUCUGCUCCAAGUUUGUCUCAUUAUGCUCUGGACACCAAGAGAUGAUCCAGUCCUUGGGUGUGACAGGACCAUUAACUUGCAAGAGAGCACAAUUACAGACUAAUGACUGGUUGAGAGGGAGGGAGCAAGAAAUGUAAGUAGUUCAUGGUAGUAGCUCCUGACACUCUGUAUGACAUGAAUGGCUGUUGGAUUUGCUUCAUC